rnacentral:lncRNA from 1 species
CAAAAUACAGAUUAUCACGUCUAGUAUAAAACGAUUACAUUUCAAACUGGGACAACUGAGCACUACUUUCAAAUGGAUACUAGAAAUUAUUUUUGUUGGUUCUAGAAUUUUCUGGUUCAUGUGACCAAUGAAUUGGUAGAAUAUGUUAGGCAUUCAUUCAUUGCUAUGACUGUAAACUAGUAAAACACUGUGGUAAGAAUGCGAUACAGCAAUUUUGUAAUCAUGUUACUCCAGAUUGACUCUUUAUAUUACCACGGCAUGCCAGCUUCAUUUAAGAGGUUGUUUACAUGAUCCUGCUUUGCCUGGAGAUGAACUUAAGUCAUGAUUCAGCAAAACUAUUUAUUUUUUGAGUGAUAAAUUGUGAUAUAAUUGUAAACAAAAGGUUGCUCAGGUGGCAAUAUUAUAAAUAUAAUCUUCUUGAACCAUGAGAUAUCUUCUUAAUUUAACAACAUUUGAGUUCUUUCACCGGCAUUUGAACUUUUGUUUAAGCCUAGUGAUUUAUUUCGCACAUCAGCCCCAUAUGGCAUGCUGGUUUACAACAUAGGCGUUCCCUGCACAGAUAUCUCAUCUGUGACUUCUGUCCGCGCAUUUUCAAUGAAAUCCUACAAAUUCUGCGUAUUUUCAUGAAUUAUUAAAAUAUAUUUAUUUCGUCUACUUUGUGUCGAGAGGAAGCUUA